UACGGAGGGUGCAAGCGUUAUCCGGAUUUAUUGGGUUUAAAGGGUGCGCAGGCGGACCUGUUAGUCAGUGGUGAAAUCUCCCGGCUCAACCGGGAAACUGCCAUUGAUACUGUCGUUCUUGAGUACAGUUGAAGUGGGCGGAAUGUGUCAUGUAGCGGUGAAAUGCUUAGAUAUGACACAGAACACCGAUAGUGAAGACAGCUCACUAAGCUGUAACUGACGCUCAUGCACGAAAGCGUGGGGAUCAAACAGG
rnacentral:rRNA from 1 species